rnacentral:SRP_RNA from 1 species
UAAUGUUGUGUUAUACUACAUAGUAGAGCAUAUGUCUGCUCUGUUAUUUCAGAAAUGAAAUUCCGAAAUAUAGAUGUGUGGGCCCUGUGCAAUGAGACCCCGUGAACCAUGUCAGGCGGGAGACCGAGCAGCAUUAAGCGGAUUGUUUUGUGUGCCGCAGCAAGCCUGCACAUCUAUGUUCCGGAAUUUUUUCUUUGAAAUAAAAUAUAUUA